UUCACUUCCUCAGCAGCCACCGCAGUUAACCCUGACUGCGGCGCUUGCGGCCAUCACAAGCCACCAAAGCACGGAGGACACAAAGGGGGUGGUGGUGGUCUUUUGCCACCAAUUGUUAAGCCUCCAAUUAACUUGCCACCAGUAAUUCCUCCAGUGGUUAAGCCUCCAAUUAACUUGCCACCAGUAAUUCCUCCAGUGGUUAAGCCUCCAAUUAACUUGCCACCAGUUAUUCCUCCAGUGGUCAAGCCUCCAAUCAACUUGCCACCAGUUAUUCCUCCUGUUGUUAAGCCUCCAAUCAACUUGCCACCAGUUAUUCCUCCCGUUAUUAAACCACCAAUCAAUCUUCCUCCAGUUACAGUUCCUCCAGUUAUUACUAACCCACCGAAGGGAAGUGGUGGAAAGCCAUGCCCACCGCCACCAGCAAAGGCUGCUACUUGCCCAAUCGAUAC
rnacentral:lncRNA from 1 species